CUUGCACCUGAUUGACGAUUUAUCACCAGUGAGUGGCGGACGGGUGAGUAACACGUAGGUAACCUGCCCCGGAGCGGGGGAUAACAUUUGGAAACAGAUGCUAAUACCGCAUAACAACGAAAGCCACAUGGCUUUUGUUUGAAAGAUGGCUUUGGCUAUCACUCUGGGAUGGACCUGCGGUGCAUUAGCUAGUUGGUAAGGUAACGGCUUACCAAGGCGAUGAUGCAUAGCCGAGUUGAGAGACUGAUCGGCCACAAUGGAACUGAGACACGGUCCAUACUCCUACGGGAGGCAGCAGUAGGGAAUCUUCCACAAUGGGCGCAAGCCUGAUGGAGCAACACCGCGUGAGUGAAGAAGGGUUUUGGCUCGUAAAGCUCUGUUGUUGGAGAAGAACGUGCGUGAGAGUAACUGUUCACGCAGUGACGGUAUCCAACCAGAAAGUCACGGCUAACUACGUGCCAGCAGCCGCGGUAAUACGUAGGUGGCAAGCGUUAUCCGGAUUUAUUGGGCGUAAAGCGAGCGCAGGCGGUUGCUUAGGUCUGAUGUGAAAGCCUUCGGCUUAA
rnacentral:rRNA from 1 species